rnacentral:lncRNA from 1 species
AUUUAAUUUAUUUGAAACCUACUAUCAGUAAAUAUUAAUGCUAGAUGACAAUUAAGAAAGAUUUCUUUUCUUAUAUUGCUGAAAGGGUGGAUUAUAUAUUGAUGGAAUGAGAAGGGAGGAUUCACCAAAAAAAAAAAAAGAAAAGCAAGGAAGGAAAAAAUUUCAAACGUUGUAGUACAUGGGAUUUGAGAGUUUGGAUGUUCUGUUGGCACUUGGGUGGCCUACAAGACUGCACUAUUGAUCUCUCAUAAUCUCUCCCACAAGCGAUAGCCUUGCUUUGUCAACUUUCUCCUUCUCUCGACAUUAUAAUUCGCAACCGCAUCGUAGCAGCCUUUUGCGCACC